GCCGCCCGCUCGGCCUCUCCGCGAGAGCCGGAGACAAAGAGCAUCGCGUCUUCCGUCCGCGUAGCUCGCUCGAGGGCGAAUGCGGCGAGCUGGCACACGUAGCGGGCCAGGGUGCGGCGGCGGUCCGGACCGGGCGCCGGGGCAGGCCGGGAGGUGUCCGCGCGAUGCCCUCCCGAUCCCCUUUUCAUGAGAAAGCCCCGUGCUCGAGCUCCUGCACCGGCCAAGCACCGCGUACCCUGGACAGCCACCAUCGGGUACUCCUUCCUUGGAUAUCACAGGAGAGUGAAAUCCGAUUAAUUUCCCUGUGUUUCUAUGACUAAACAGUUAUCGAAGAAGCCUUGCACAUAUUUGUGACAGUAUUGUUGUCUUACCAGCAUUCACUUUCUUGCCUAAAAGGUAGUAAGUCUCAAUAGCCUAAUUUAAAUCUACUUUCACAAGUUCUCUUUUUUAUUUCUGCACCUCUCUGUAUUUUAUAGAUGAGAAUUCUUUAUAUUUUAUUUUAAAAAACUGUUGUAGAACCAAAACACCAGAACCUGAAAAAAUGGUACCUGGCAUGGAAAAAACUCUUAUUGUGCAGAGUUAUAGAUAAAAAGUUGUACAUAGUGAAACACUGUAAAUACGCGUAUGUUACAUAUUUCGGGUGUAAUGUGAAAUCCAAGUUUGCACAUGCAUGUUAAGAACAUUAAACAGGCUACAAAUAUUUGCAAUUGCAAGCAGGAGGGAUACUUCAGUGGCUGGUUGUUCAAAUCCCAGAAGAUGGUCCUUUGGCAUGUAUAUUAAGCUGUAUUAUUGAAAUGUUUUCUUAAAAGUGUUAACAGUUACUUACAAAAUUCACAGGGAUAAUGAAGACUAGAAAUGGCCAACAUGCCAGUCACUUUCUCAAAAUUACUUUCAAAUUCUUGAAAACUUUGAUAACAAAUCCUCAGGGAAAUUAGGUUUGUAUCCAGAAGAAAAGCAAAGGAGUUAACACCCGACAUGGAUCUCUAAAGACAAGGUGCAUAACACCACUCGGAUACCUUAUGUUGGAGCAGCAGUACAUAAGUGGCGGAAUAGCAACUUUACUAUAGUAAGACUUUUAGCAGUAUCUAUGUGGGAUUUUCAUGAGCAAACUAGGGAAGCAUAGUGGUGAUGAAGUUUCAAUAAGGUAAGUAAAUAUCUUGUUUGGUAUUCAUCCUCAGAAAGCAAUAGUCCUCAGUUCAAAACAAGUACAUUUGAGUGAGGGUUCAAACAUCAGUGUGCUGUUCCUAGUCCACUGUUUUCUUAAAUCACUUUGGUCACAAAAUAAGUACACUUAUUAAUCCACAAGCAAUCUGAAAUUGAGAGGGACUAGAAGUAGUAGAAGUUGUUGGUUUUUUUUAGAUAGUCUGAAAAAUGGACAAAGUACAAUGCAGGUAAGAAUAAUAUUACAUAAAACUAAAUAUCUGAAUGCAGAAAUUCAGGGGGGGCUUCUGAGCUGUAUGGUAUUUCUGCAGAAUAAAGCAAUGGGGGCCAUAGUACUUCACAAACUGAGUCAAUGUCAUUCUGCUGCCACAGAAAAAGGAGCAAGCAGUAAGCAUUAUACUUGUGUAUAGUAUGCAUACCUUAGAUGCAUGAAGUAAUUCUUGUACUCUACACUGGCAUGGCCUAAACUAAGGCCUGCAUCUAGUGAGAAGAUGGCAAAAGAUUUGGCUAUAAUAAUAUUCUCCAGAUAAUAAAAAAAAAAAAAAUGAUGGCAAAUAAUUUGUUUCUCAAUAAUACUCACAGUUUAGAGGAAAACUGAAUUUGUUUUCAUGAACUGCAAGUAGGUGUAACUUAAAGACUAAGCAGAAAUAAGCAAAAAAUAUUUGAAAAGCCUAAAGAAGUUCUAAAAAUUAUGCCAUUUCUAACAUAUAAGUUGGGUUUUUUAAAUAGUAACAAAUGAGUAUAGUUGAUCUUGGUUGGAAAUGGGAAGUUGGACUAGAUUAUCUCCAGAAUCUUCCAGUCUUGUUUUUUUGCAAUUCAGUACUUUUACAUGAACCAGAAUAGGACAAAAUUGAAAGCUCAGUCCAGGCGGUCAAAUUUGUAAAUGCCCAAUCUGUGUGUGUUUUAAAGCUGACUGCCCAUUUUUUGUGUUACAUUUGUAAUUUCACUUUUCCUAGCUUUAUUAUGCUGUGAAUAUAAACGUCCAGCUUUCUUCAUAAUAUACAUGUUUUCAUGUAAGUAUUUCUCCUCAGCUGGCAGAUUGCCUUUUUUCUGAGUCCAAUCGUAUAUGCCUUCCUCUGUCUAGGAAAGAAUAAAAGAGCAUAAUGAAUCUUUGCUUCCUUUUGCUUCAAACAAAACAUGUCCAACACCAGACUUCCAAGGAAUGAAGAAAGCCAGCUGGAAGAGCAUCUCUGCACUGCAGUGAAAAGCUGCAGCUCUGGAAAGCUACCAUGUCAAAAACAAAUAGCAAGUACUAUGACUGAAUCACCUGAAACAGAAGGUACUUUUAUCAGCUGGUAUGAAAAUAUCUGAAUAUUUUUCACCUUCAUAUAUUGAUGUCAUGUUUUCCCUCCAUGAUCUACAAUUCUACUUUCAUGAUAGAAUUUAAUGUGCUCUGGCAUUUAUUUUCAGGUUUACUGCUUUAUUCACGUAUUGACCUGUUCAGUGCAAUCCUCUAAAACUAAAUUAUUGCUGCUAUACAGGUUACAACACACAGAAAUUAAUUAAACCAUUGUGAUACACUGAUUCUCCCUGUUUACAAGAUUUAGUUCAUAGAGUUCAUAGCCAGUGGUGUCACCAUAGUUUAAUGUGAAGAAGAGCUAUUGCAUCAUCUCCUAAUUUAUCUGUGGAGGGCUCGACCACCUUUUGAUUUAGGAUCUUAAUUUGAGAAAACUCCAUAAAUUAGUAACGCCAGCUGUAGCCUGCAGAGGUAAUAAUUAUGUAUUUUUCUCCCUUUCUGUGGUUGUUGUUUUGGUUUUUUUUCCUGACUAUCUUUUGUCAGAGUCCUGUGUCACUAUAGAUUCACAUAUGCUUGCCAAAAUGUCAACUUUCUGAAUCUUGUGAGGUUUCAUCUGCAGUCUUGGUGGGUACAAAACAAUGAGAGAGAGCAGGAUGCCAAGUUAUCUGCCAUCAAUUUCUAAACUACAGGUCACCUGUGGAGAUCCUGCACACUGUAGGGGCAGAAUAUGACACUGUUUUAGGAAAUGCAGCACAUUAUUGCUGACUUGUGUCAUUUUAUAAUAGCUGGGUUGCUUUUCCACCCAAUUGCAUCAGCACACAGUGGUCCUUCCUUUUCUGUCAGAAAAGACAUGGGUUUUUCUACCUGAAACUACUUUUUGGUGGCUCUCCCUUGUUCAGCCUGUAGAAGUCUCAUACUUUGGGGUUGCUCAGCUUUUGCACAAAGAAUCAUAGGAUCACCAAGGCUGGAAGAGACCUUCAAGAUCACCCAGUCCAACCAUCCAUCCAGCACUACCACUGUAACCCCUAAGCCACAUCAGACAGAAACAUAUCCACACACUUCUUGAACACCACCAGGGGUGGUGACUCCACCACUUCCUUGGGCAACCUGUUCCAGUGCCUGGCAACUCUGACACUAGAAAAGUUAAUUUUUCCAAUAUCUAAUUUGGAUCUCUUCUGUCUCAGCUUAAGGCCAUCUGCAUUGAACUGCUUUUGGGCUGCCGCUGGCCAGAACUGUGAGCAACAAGGGCUUGUGCCCAAAGUUAGGGCCUCUCUGGUCACUCCAGACAGUGAGAACUCCUGCAUAUACCACGGCCUGGCAGUACAGCCAUGGACAGCUCAAAUCAGCUUUGCACUGGCAGCUAGCAAAGCUCAGAUUUUUCUUGUAGCUCGUGGGUCUGGACCCAGGAAAUCCCAUGGCUUACCUCUGGAGAUCACUACACGUGCUUUUAAAUGAACAGAAGGAAGUACCACCAGGAAGGGACCUGCUCACUGCCAAGCAACGAGGAGAGAUAAAAAAGGCGAAUGACAAUACCAAACCUUGGAGUCUAGAACCGCGGUCUUCUAUGGCUUUGUUGUGGGUAUUGCAACAACUCAGCACCAAGCAUUUAAAAAUCUCCGCGGAUUUCUCUAUUUAAGUAACUAAAUUCUAAACUAAACUAUAAACCAACA